rnacentral:rRNA from 1 species
AUUGAACGCUAGCGGGAUGCUUUACACAUGCAAGUCGAACGGAGUGGCGGACGGGUGAGUAAUAUAUCGGAACGUGCCUAGUAGCGGGGGAUAACUACUCGAAAGAGUGGCUAAUACCGCAUACCAUCAGAGCUGCCGAUAUGGGCUUAGCUAGGUGGUGGGGUAAAGGCGCACCAAGGCCACGAUCCGUAGCUGGUUUGAGAGGACGACCAGCCACACUGGGACUGAGACACGGCCCAGACGCCGACGUGAGGCAGCAGUGGGGAAGUUUGGACAAGGGGGGAAACCCUGAUCCAGCCAUCCCGAGGGUAUGAUGAAGGCCUUCGGGUUGUAAAGUACUUUUGGCAGAGAAGCGGUAUCUGCAGAAUAGGCACCGGCUAACUCCGUGACAGCAGCCGCGGUAAUUC